rnacentral:rRNA from 1 species
ACGAUGAAGCCCUUCGGGGUGGAUUAGUGGCGAACGGGUGAGUAACACGUGGGCAAUCUGCCCUUCACUCUGGGACAAGCCCUGGAAACGGGGUCUAAUACCGGAUAACACUCCUCAGAGCAUUCUGGGGGGUUAAAAGCUCCGGCGGUGAAGGAUGAGCCCGCGGCCUAUCAGCUUGUUGGUGGGGUAAUGGCCUACCAAGGCGACGACGGGUAGCCGGCCUGAGAGGGCGACCGGCCACACUGGGACUGAGACACGGCCCAGACUCCUACGGGAGGCAGCAGUGGGGAAUAUUGCACAAUGGGCGAAAGCCUGAUGCAGCGACGCCGCGUGAGGGAUGACGGCCUUCGGGUUGUAAACCUCUUUCAGCAGGGAAGAAGCGAAAGUGACGGUACCUGCAGAAGAAGCGCCGGCUAACUACGUGCCAGCAGCCGCGGUAAUACGUAGGGCGCAAGCGUUGUCCGGAAUUAUUGGGCGUAAAGAGCUCGUAGGCGGCUUGUCACGUCGGAUGUGAAAGCCCGGGGCUUAACCCCGGGUCUGCAUUCGAUACGGGCUAGCUAGAGUGUGGUAGGGGAGAUCGGAAUUCCUGGUGUAGCGGUGAAAUGCGCAGAUAUCAGGAGGAACACCGGUGGCGAAGGCGGAUCUCUGGGCCAUUACUGACGCUGAGGAGCGAAAGCGUGGGGAGCGAACAGGAUUAGAUACCCUGGUAGUCCACGCCGUAAACGUUGGGAACUAGGUGUUGGCGACAUUCCACGUCGUCGGUGCCGCAGCUAACGCAUUAAGUUCCCCGCCUGGGGAGUA